rnacentral:rRNA from 1 species
GACGAACGCUGGCGGCGUGCUUAACACAUGCAAGUCGAACGGUAAGGCCCUUCGGGGUACACGAGUGGCGAACGGGUGAGUAACACGUGGGUAAUCUGCCCUGCACAUCGGGAUAAGCCUGGGAAACUGGGUCUAAUACCGAAUAGGACCACAGGACACAUGUCCUGUGGUGGAAAGCUUUUGCGGUGUGGGAUGGGCCCGCGGCCUAUCAGCUUGUUGGUGGGGUGAUGGCCUACCAAGGCGACGACGGGUAGCCGGCCUGAGAGGGUGUCCGGCCACACUGGGACGGAGAUACGGCCCAGACUGCUACGGGAGGCAGCAGUGGGGAAUAUUGCACAAUGGGCGAAAGCCUGAUGCAGCGACGCCGCGUGGGGGAUGACGGCCUUCGGGUUGUAAACCUCUUUCACCAUCGACGAAGGUCCGGGUUUUCUCGGGCUGACGGUAGGUGGAGAAGAAGCACCGGCCAACUACGUG